UACGUAGGUGGCAAGCGUUGUCCGGAUUUACUGGGCGUAAAGAGCGCGCAGGCGGUCGUUCAAGUCGCGUGUGAAAGCCCCCGGCUCAACUGGGGAGGGUCACGCGAUACUGAUCGACUCGAAGGCAGGAGAGGGUAGUGGAAUUCCCGGUGUAGUGGUGAAAUGCGUAGAUAUCGGGAGGACACCUGUGGCGAAGGCGGCUUUCUGGGCCUUACCUGACGCUGAGACGCGAAAGCGUGGGGAGCGAACCGG
rnacentral:rRNA from 1 species